CCUACGGGUGGCAGCAGUGGGGAAUAUUGGACAAUGGGCGAAAGCCUGAUCCAGCCAUGCCGCGUGUGUGAAGAAGGCCUUCGGGUUGUAAAGCACUUUCAGUGGGGAAGAAAGCCUUGGGGCUAAUACCCUCGAGGAAGGACAUCACCCACAGAAGAAGCACCGGCUAACUCCGUGCCAGCAGCCGCGGUAAUACGGAGGGUGCGAGCGUUAAUCGGAAUUACUGGGCGUAAAGCGCGCGUAGGCGGUCUGAUAAGCCGGUUGUGAAAGCCCCGGGCUCAACCUGGGAACGGCAUCCGGAACUGUCAGGCUAGAGUGCAGGAGAGGAAGGUAGAAUUCCCGGUGUAGCGGUGAAAUGCGUAGAGAGCGGGAGGAAUACCAGUGGCGAAGGCGGCCUUCUGGACUGACACUGACGCUGAGGUGCGAAAGCGUGGGUAGCAAACAGGAUUAGAUACCCUGGUAGUC
rnacentral:rRNA from 1 species